rnacentral:misc_RNA from 1 species
UCUUACCCAACUUUACCGAAUUGAGUUUAAUUAAAUACUUGGAAAUUGAGUGUAAAUUCUUUGAUGGUAGCUGGAUUUUUCAAUUUAGGCAACCCCACCCAAUUUACUAAAAUUUUUGUACAUCAAAAUGUUAGAAAUGUAGUCAAUAGAUCAAACUGAACAGGCAAUGACUACUUUAGACUCUUGCAUUUGACUAAAAAGUGCAUUACAG